AUUGAGCGCUGGCGGCAGGCUUAACACAUGCAAGUCGAGCGGAGCGAGGGUGCUUGCACCUUAGCUUAGCGGUGGACGGGUGAGUAAUGCUUAGGAAUCUGCCUAUUAGUGGGGGACGACAUUCCGAAAGGAAUGCUAAUACCGCAUACGCCCUACGGGGGAAAGCAGGGGAUCUUCAGACCUUGCGCUAAUAGAUGAGCCUAAGUCGGAUUAGCUAGUUGGUGGGGUAAAGGCCUACCAAGGCGACGAUCUGUAGCGGGUCUGAGAGGAUGAUCCGCCACACUGGGACUGAGACACGGCCCAGACUCCUACGGGAGGCAGCAGUGGGGAAUAUUGGACAAUGGGCGGAAGCCUGAUCCAGCCAUGCCGCGUGUGUGAAGAAGGCCUUUUGGUUGUAAAGCACUUUAAGCGAGGAGGAGGCUACUUAGAUUAAUACUCUGGGAUAGUGGACGUUACUCGCAGAAUAAGCACCGGCUAACUCUGUGCCAGCCGCCGCCGUAA
rnacentral:rRNA from 1 species